GUACAUACAGGGGACGUGGUAUUUACUGUUACCACUCAUGAUGAUGAAAACGACACGCUGACCUUUACACUGAGCCCUAGCAGUGCUCCAUUCCAAAUACUCAACUAUGGUGUUGUACAGGUGACAAGGGACCUGUCAGAAGUUUUUCAGGCGGGAUACGAUCUGUCCAUUUCCAUUGCUGACCUUCGUACAACAAUACCAGCUAGAGUUUUAACUAUCCAUCUACAAAACGUAAAUGACAUUCCCGUUUUCGGCAAUCUGCCUGUUGGUGCAGUUUGGAACGUGCUGGAGAAUACACCCUUGGGAGUUAUUUUGUACAGAGUCGACGUCAACGACCUAGAUUUAACAGACACAAUACAAUUUGAUGUAGAAUUUAAUCCAACAACAGGAUCAUCAUACUUUGCAAUUAA